UGGCGGCUGCCUAUACAUGCAAGUCGAGCGAAUGGAUUGAGAGCUUGCUCUCAAGAAGUUAGCGGCGGACGGGUGAGUAACACGUGGGUAACCUGCCCAUAAGACUGGGAUAACUCCGGGAAACCGGGGCUAAUACCGGAUAAUAUUUUGAACUGCAUGGUUCGAAAUUGAAAGGCGGCUUCGGCUGUCACUUAUGGAUGGACCCGCGUCGCAUUAGCUAGUUGGUGAGGUAACGGCUCACCAAGGCAACGAUGCGUAGCCGACCUGAGAGGGUGAUCGGCCACACUGGGACUGAGACACGGCCCAGACUCCUACGGGAGGCAGCAGUAGGGAAUCUUCCGCAAUGGACGAAAGUCUGACGGAGCAACGCCGCGUGAGUGAUGAAGGCUUUCGGGUCGUAAAACUCUGUUGUUAGGGAAGAACAAGUGCUAGUUGAAUAAGCUGGCACCUUGACGGUACCUAACCAGAAAGCCACGGCUAACUACGUGCCAGCAGCCGCGRGUAAUACA
rnacentral:rRNA from 1 species